rnacentral:lncRNA from 13 species
AGAUCUCUGCAGUUCAUCCAGAGUGGUCAUGGGCCUCUUGGCUGCAUCUCUGAUCAGUCUUCUCCUUGUAUGAGCUGAAAGUUUAGAGGGACGGCCAGGUCUUGGUAGAUUUGCAGUGGUCUGAUACUCCUUCCAUUUCAAUAUUAUCGCUUGCACAGUGCUCCUUGGGAUGUUUAAAGCUUGGGAAAUCUUUUUGUAUCCAAAUCCGGCUUUAAACUUCUUCACAACAGUAUCUCGGACCUGCCUGGUGUGUUCCUUGUUCUUCAUGAUGCUCUCUGCGCUUUUAACGGACCUCUGAGACUAUCACAGUGCAGGUGCAUUGAUACGGAGACUUGAUUACACACAGGUGGAUUGUAUUUAUCAUCAUUAGUCAUUUAGGUCAACAUUGGAUCAUUCAGAGAUCCUCACUGAACUUCUGGAGAGAGUUUGCUGCACUGAAAGUAAAGGGGCUGAAUAAUUUUGCACGCCCAGUUUUUCAGUUUUUGAUUUGUUAAAAAGUUUGAAAUAUCCAAUAAAUGUCGUUCCACUUCAUGAUUGUGUCCCACUUGUUGUUGAUUCUUCACAAAAAAAAUGCAGUUUUAUAUCUUUAUGUUUGAAGCCUGAAAUGUGGCAAAAGGUCGCAAAGUUCAAGGGGGCCGAAUACUUUCGCAAGGCACUGUAACUCCACUCUGAAGACUUAAUUAGAAAAACUAUAGUACUGUGUGCCAACCACUGUCAAUUAUACAGUUACAGCAUAGUGGGUCAAUUACUGUAGUACACACAUGCAAAUAUACCCUGAUAUUUUAGCCAGCUCCACGUUCUCCAGCGGGCCUCAUCUGCAGCGUGUUCAGGCUGGCCUCGCUCUUCCCAUUACAGCUCCUGUAUCCCUCCAACACCUUCCUGCCCAGGGCCUCCAAUAUCCCAUCCUGCACAUAGGGUUAAUGGGUGUUCGUCAGUACAAGAGCCAUGUGAGGCUGAGUGACUUCAAGUUUCACUGCCUUACACUCCCACUGUAUCUCAUUGUCCUAGAUUAGGACUCUAUGAUGACUUUGUCCCUGUAGUGUUCACUUUGUGUAUGCGUGUGUACAUACUGUAGGAAUGCAAGCAGUUGUGUGUGCUGUCUGUCUGUGAACAGUUCACGUUUCCAAUCCCUGUCCUUCUCUCUCUGGAUGGCAUGGGUAAUGAUGUCAAUCUGUUGGGUCAGCUGCUCGGUCUCCUGCUCCCUGGAUACAAACAAAGUACGUUUCAAAUUUGACAGAUUUUAAGUGCUUUGCAUUCAUGCAUUCUUCACAGUAUGCUCUCUCAGUGGUUCUUUGGAAGAUUAAGAAUGCAGAACUCAACAACAUAUUUUUCUACACAGGUCAUUUGAAUACAGGUAGUUCAAUCAUUAUUGGCACUAUGUCUCCGUCUGCUGCAGCCUCUUCUCCUCCUUGGUGGCCAUCUUGGACAGCUUCUGAAUCACCUCCCUCUUCACGGCCAGGGAUUACUGGGGAAUACACCAUGAGUAGAGGUCAGUGACCACAGGAAGGAAAGAGAGGAGAGACUUGGCGUUUAAAACAGAAACCGACAACAGGUCAAAAUAAGAAUGGAGACCGAGAGUGUUAAUUGUUGUGUUGUAUAGCAAUGGGAAGAUACAAUGAGGAAAGGUAACAUUAAAGAGAUAGCUGCAAUUGCACUGAGGAACUAGAAGUGUUCUUCUUGCUUUGUUAUUCUAAUAAAUGUAAUCGGUUAAAGAGCUCUGUCUCUCCCUUGAGGCAAACAGACUCCUUAGCAAAGGAAGUAUUUCUAGGUUUGUAGGGUCUGGAGAAUGAGUAAUCUCAGGAAAUGGAAGUGUAUGCGGCUCUGGGACUUACGAGGGUGAAAUGUGACGCCAGGGGACCUAUUAGACACGCAGCUCAUGACCUGGGGAUUGAUGUCUUUUAAAUAAGCUACUGCCUCAAGGUGUUUUCAUAUUCAUUUACCUAUUUACUUUCUUUGAAACGGUUAGGACUGGACAACAACAAGCAUAUCCUGAUGUAAUUAUGCCCUUUUUAAAAAAGAUUUUUAUGAGGCUGUGGAAAGAAAUAAGGGGAACAUCUGGCGAAAAUGUGCGUUUUCACAGAGACUCAAACAAACCGGGUUUUGUCCGAGCUUGGGUAAUAGUUCAGACAAGCUUAGCUCAGGGAAACUUUGGGCAAAUAUAAAUGGAGCCUUCAAGCAAAAAGGAGACGCACACGAAGCUGAACCAAGCCAUGUGCUGUGUUACCAAUAACAACAAUCGCACCUUUCUGUUUUUCCACUUACCUCAUCCCCAAACUGCUUUGCGUAUAAAACAGCUUUUGUUGUUUUUAUUAACUCUAAAGCUAAGAAGCCUUGUGGUUUGAAGGGUUAGAAAAUAUAUAUUCCGGGGCCUCCCGAGUGGCGCAGCGGUCUAAGGCACUACAGAUCCGAUGUCACUACAGACCCGGGUUUGAUCCCAGGCUGUGUUUGAGCCGGCCGUGACCGGGAGACCCAUGAGACGGCGCACAAUUGACCCAGGGUUGUCCGGGUUAGGGAAGGUUUGGCUGGCCGGGAUGUCCUUGUCCCAUCGUGCUCUAGCAACUCCUUGUGGUGGGCUGGGCGCAUGCACACUGACCUCAACACAUUGGUGCGGCUGGCUUCCGGGUUAAGAGAGCAGUGUGUCAUGAAGCAGUGCGGCUUGGCAGGGUUGUGUUUCGGAGGACGCAUGGCUUUUGACCUUCCCCUCUCCCGAGUCAGUAUGGGAGUUGCAUCGAUGGGACAAGUCUCUAACUACCAAUUGGAUAUCAUGAAAAAGGGGUUAAGAAAAUAUAAAUUCCAGUGGUGAAAACAAUAAUGCUGUGUUAACGUCUGUUAGUGCAACACAAAUAGUCUGGGUAGCCAUUUAAUUAGCUGUUCAGGAGUCUUAUGGCUUGGGGGUAGAAGCUAUUUAGGAGCCUCUUGGACCUAGACUUGGCACUCUGGCACCGCUUGCCGUGCAGUACCAGAGAGAACAGUCUAUGACUAGGGUGGCUGGAGUCUUUGACAAUUUUUAGGGCCUUCCUCUGACACCACCUGGUAUAGAGGUCCUGGAUGGCAGGAAGCUUGGCCCCGGUGAUGUACUGGGCCGUACACACUACCCUCUGUACUGCCCUUGCUUGACAUUCCAGGCAGUGUUGCAACCCAUCAGGAUGCUCUCGAUGAUGCAGCUGUAAAACCUUUUGAGGAUCUGAGGACGCAUGCCAAAUCUUUUCAGUCUACUGAGGGGGAAUAGGUUUUGUCAUUCCCUCUUCACGAUUGUCUUGGUGUGUUUGGUUCAUGUUAGUUUGUUGGUGAUGUGGACGCCAAGGAACUUGAGGCUCUCAACCUGCUCCACUACAACCCGUUGAUGAGAAUGGGGGCGUGCUCGGUCCUCUUUUUCCUGUAGUCCACAAUCAUCUCCUUUGUCUUGAUCACAUUGAUGGAGAGGUUGUUUUCCUUGCACCACAUGGUCAGGUCUCUGACCUCCUCCCUACAGGCUGCCUCAUUGUUGUUGGUGAUCAGGCCUACCACUGUUGUGUCAUCUGCAAGCUUAAUGAUGGUGUUGGAGUCGUGCCUGGACGUGCAGUUAUGAGUGAACAGGGAGUACAGGAGGGGACUGAGCACACACCCCUGAGGGGCCCUCGUGUUGAGGAUCAGCGUGGCGGAUGUGUUGUUACCUUCUCUUUUCACCUGGGUGCAGCCGUCAGGAAGUCCAGGAUCCAGUUGCAGAGGAAGGUGUUUAGUCCCAGGGUCCCGAGCUUAGUGAUGAGCUUUGAGGGCACUAUGGUGUUGAACGCUGAGCUGUGGUCAAUGAAUAGCAUUCUCACAUAGAUGUUCCUUUUGUCCAGGUGUGAAAGGGCAGUGUGGAGUGCAAUAGAGAUUGCAUCAUCUGUGGAUCUGUUGGUGCGGUAUGCAAAUUGGAGUUGGUCUAGGGUUUCUGGGAUCAUGGUGUUGAUAUGAGCCAUGACCAGCCUUUCAAAGCAUUUCAUGGCUACAGACGUGAGUGCUACGGCUCGGUAGUCAUUUAGGCAGGUUACCUUAGUGUUCUUGGGCACAGGGACUAUGGUGGUCUGUUUGAAACAUGUUGGUAUUACAGACUCAGACAGGGAGAGUUUGAAAAUGUCAGUGAAGACACUUCCCAGUUGGUCAGCGCAUGCUCGGAGUACACGUCCUGGUAAUCCAUCUGUCCCUGCAGUCUUGUGAAUGUUAACGGCUGCGGAGAGCGUGAUCACACAGACGUCCGGAACAGCUGAUGCUGUCAUACAUGUUUCAGUGUAACUUGCCUCGAAGCGAGCAUAGAAGUUAUUUAGCUCAUCUGGUAGGCUCGUGUCACUGGGCAGCUCUUGGCUGUGCUUCCCUUUGUAGUCUGUAAUAGCUUGCAGGCCCUGCCACUUCUGACGAGCAUUGGAGCCGGUGUAGUACGAUUUGAUCUUAGUCCUGUAUUGACGCUUUGCCUGUUUGAUAGUUUGUCGGAGGGCAUAGGGGAUUUCUUAUAAAAUUCCAAGUUAGUGUCCCGCUCCUUGAAAGCGGCAGCUCUACCCUUUAGCUCAGUGCGAAUGUUGCCCGUAAUCCAUGGCUUCUGGUUGGGCUAUGUACGUACAGUCACUGUGGGGACGAUGUCCAUGAUGCACUUAUUGAUAAAGCCAGUGACUGAUGUGGUCCCGGAACACAUUCCAGUCUGUGCUAGCAAAACAGUCCUGUAGUUUAGCAUCUGCUUCAUCUAACCACUUUUUUUAUAGACCGAGUCACUGGUGCUUCCUGCUUUAAUUUUUGCUUUGUUUGCUUUUGGCAGUCGUGGCCAAAAGUUUUGAGAAUGACACAAAUAUACAUUUUCACAAAGUCUGCUGCCUCAGUUUGUAUGAUGGCAAUUUGCAUAUUCCUCCAGAAUGUUAUGAAGAGUGAUCGGAUGAAUUGCAAUUAAUUGCAAAGUCCCUCUUUGCCAUGCAAAUAAACUGAAUCCCCAAAAACAUUUCCACUGCAUUUCAGCCCUGCCACAAAAGGACCAGCUGACAUCAUGUCAGUGACUCUCUCGUUAACAAAGGUGUGAGUGUUGACGAGGACAAGGCUGGAGAUCACUCUGUCAUGCUGAUUGAGUUCAAAUAACAGACUGGAAGCUUCAAAAGGAGGGUGGUGCUUGGAAUCA